rnacentral:rRNA from 1 species
UACGUAGGUGGCAAGCGUUAUCCGGAAUUAUUGGGCGUAAAGCGCGCGCAGGUGGUUUCUUAAGUCUGAUGUGAAAGCCCACGGCUCAACCGUGGAGGGUCAUUGGAAACUGGGAGACUUGAGUGCAGAAGAGGGAAGCGGAAUUCCGGGUGUAGCGGAUGAAAUGCGUAGAUAUUCGGAGAACACCAGGUGGCGAAGGCGGACUUCCUGG